rnacentral:tRNA from 1 species
GCCUUUGUAGUGUAACGGUAGCACACUCGGCACGUAUUCCAGAGUUCCAGGUUCGAGUCCCGGCGAGGGCA